CAAUGGAUAUUUUAUUAAAAUAUUAAUUUUGGGAAUUAAAGAAAGGAGGUUUCCUUCCGUUGA
rnacentral:tRNA from 1 species